GGACGUAUAGCUCAGCUUGGAUAGAGCGAUAGAUUGCGGAUCUAUAGGUCGUGGGUUCGAAUCCCAUUGCGCCCUC
rnacentral:tRNA from 1 species